AAAAAGCAAAUCCUAAAUUUUUAUGUCCAACUUUGACUGUCCGUCUUAUAUGAAAAUUUUUUAUAAUUCGUAUUUUCAUUAUUGUUAGAUGAUAAAACAUGAUUAAUAUUUUAUGCGUGACUUGUCUUUUUAUUUUUUUCAUAAUUUUUUUAAAUAAGACGGACGGUCAAACGUUGGACACGGAAACC
rnacentral:pre_miRNA from 1 species